GGCGCGGGCUGCGGCGCCGCCGCGAUCUGGGUCAGCGGCGCCCCGCUCCUGCUGCGCCCUGCGAAGAUGACCUUCUGCCAGUUCUUUGAAGUUAGGUGAUACAUUGCUAAUCUAUCAAACAGUGCCAUUCCCAGCUUGAUAACACCUGACUUGUCAAACACCUAUCCGAUCGCAGUCUGAGGGACCCAUUCACUCAAUAGCUUGGGAUGGAAGUUACCUGUACCGCCAUACCUCUCACGUUCAGCAUCAUCGUUCUCAUCAAAGUUGGAGUCAGGAAGAGUAUUUUAAAGGUGGAAAUGCAUCACACCUCUUGUCAUUCAGAAACCUCUGUGUUUAUAUGAAACUGUGCACGGCCUUGGCAUUAGACCUCCACAAGGGAAGACCAAACACUGGUAUGUGGUGAAAUGGAGGCUUUCCGGAGCCAGCAGCAAAGAGAUGGCAGAAGAACUCUGUAAUUUGUGAAUCUGAUGCUAGGACUUCUCUCAAGAUGUUCAGAUAGGAAUCAAGCUCAGAUCACCCUUGGUGUAUGAUGCCAUUGAGCAAAUGUCCAGCUGUGCCUUCUGGGAGGUGUCAUAUGGUCCGGUCUGAACAGGAUGUUCAGGUAAAAGUGUAGCGGGGAGGACAACGCUUGGCUGAACCCAAGUCAUCAGUACUCUAUGUGCAUGCAAGUUCCUUGAUGAAAAGAAGUUCAGCAAUGAUCAUUGCAGGGGAGGAAUCUGAAGUCUGUGAGCAGGAAUCAUGCAAGAGGUAUGCUAGCCGUUGUUAGCUCUGUAGUGAAAGGUGUCUAUAGUAAAUUGAUAUCUGGUUGCUGGACUGUACUACAAAUGCAGCAGGACAGGUGCUCGCAAUACAGUUCUUGCUCCUAUUAUCAUGGUAGCCAAGAGCUUUGAUGUAUCUGCCUGGAGAUCUAUAGUUUAUUUUGAAUACAUAAAAAGAGAUAUAAGAGAUAUGGAAUCAGUCCCUCCUGAGGAUCCAUGAGAAUCUAGAAAUGUGCACUAAAUAUCUGGGCAUUUGCUUAUGUGUAAGAAUCAUUGCACUUUGGAGCCUCUCAUCUGAGAAUACUCAUGUGCAAAUUGGGUUAGCAUCUUUGUUUAUGUCUGAUACUGCACAAUGUUCUUAGGAGCCUCUGUUUUCACCCUAUGUAAUCAUGUAAUCAGGCUGGGAUUUACUGGAUGGGAUUUGGGGUCUGUAAUUCACUCAUCCCCAUUCCAAGCAGUGCCCAGGCAGUGAGUACAAUCCUGAGUUAUGUGGUGCAGUCAGGUAUUCCCUUCUUUGGUGUCCAUGUGCAUUCAGGUAGGUGCUGACUGCACUCCUGGGAGCUGCGUACUUGAUGGGUGUACGGGUACUUACCUGCAUGUAUCUCCCUCCCCCCACCAAAUGCACGCCUACAGGUGAGCUGCAGAAUGCCAUAGAAACGUGCUACAUAGAACUGUCCUGCUGUGGUAAAGAGAAGGAUGAGAUGACAAAAUACAUUUCGAAUCUUUAACUUAUCUAAUUUUGGUUUUUUUAAGAAAUCUGCUUACCCUAAUUAAAAAGAGAACACAGAGAAAAGAAUUAUUUUCUUGCUGUUUGUGGAGUCAUUUUUAUUCUUGAGAUCUGUCUCCACACUCUACUUUGAAAUACUGAAAGAGCUGUGAUUUCUUUGUGCCUAGCUCAGGACAAGUAUCACGUACAGAAAUUUCUGUGAUGGUGUAUUACAUGACUGGCACACUGGUGUUAUAGCAACUAAAGCAGCCUGCACACAGCCCUUAUGACCCUUUCUUAACCUGCUCUCCUAGUCAUUUUGUUCAUUUACAGCACCACACUUCAUUUCACUCAUAUUCCUUUCACUGAAGAUGCUGUAAAAUUUAACACACAAGACAAUAACCAAAGCAUGUAGAUGAUGAUAACAUGAGAGAUGAUGUGUGUCAGGCUUACUCAUACAGACUUUAGAGAGAUGACAGCUAAGUGAAGCAGUCAGUAUGCUCAUUUAGUUUCCCCAUUUCUGGGAGUAAAGAAUUCUACUGGAAAGGACUUUGUCUUCAUAUGAAUUAAGAGCAUUUAAUGCUAUAAUGCUUUAAUUUAAAUUGUUCUGUUUGUUUUUGCUGUAUAGAAAGAGAUUUGCAAAGCAAAACAAAACAAAAAACAGCAUUGUAGACAUGAGUAUCAAAUCCUGUAUGCUAAAAAUGCUUGCUUUUCUUUCAUAAUAAAAGUGAACAAACUCGAAUAUGCUGGUUAACAUCAUA